rnacentral:tRNA from 1 species
GUUUAAAUAGCUUAAAAAUAAAGCCCAAUAUUGAAGAUAUUAAGAUACUUGAUAAAAGUUUUAAAUA